GUUAAAAUAGGUUUCACAUAACUAGACCAACUACUAGUCAAACAACCUAGUCCAGAUUGUCACCAAUUUAAUUCACUACAAAAUGCUAGAAAAAAAAAAUUCAAAGCUCCAAGUCAACAGCACUUUCUUCCCCAAAAAUAAAAAUUAUUACUUUCAUUGAUUUGAAAUGAAUGAUUAGGAAGAUAAUGCAUCUCGCAUCGGUUUAGCAAGGGAGGUCUUAGACCUUGUACGUAUAAGUUGGCAACUCUUCCCUUAAAAGCCAACUUUUAAAGUGAAGUUGAGCAAAUUCAUAGACCUUUUCUAGUCGGUAGGCCAUAAUCUUAAUUCUCUGUACAAAGAUGUACAGUUCAAAAGAGUUUGUAAUGAU
rnacentral:misc_RNA from 1 species